GAUGAAGAACGCAGCGAAAUGCGAUAAGUAAUGUGAAUUGCAGAAUUCAGUGAAUCAUCGAAUCUUUGAACGCACAUUGCGCCCGCCAGUAUUCUGGCGGGCAUGCCUGUUCGAGCGUCAUUUCAACCAUCAAGCCCCCGGCUUGUGUUGGGGACCUGCGGCUGCCGCAGGCCCUGAAAAGCAGUGGCGGGCUCGCUGUCACACCGAGCGUAGUAGCAUACAUCUCGCUCUGGGCGUGCUGCGGGUUCCGGCCGUUAAACCACCUUCAUAACCCAAGGUUGACCUCGGAUCAGGUAGGAAGACCCGCUGAACUUAAGCAUAUAAAUAAGCGGAGGA
rnacentral:misc_RNA from 1 species